GCAUUGGUGGUGUAGUGGUGAGCAGAGCUGCCCUCUAAGCAGUUGACCUGGGUUCAAUUCCCAGCCAAUGCA
rnacentral:tRNA from 1 species